GACGAACGCUGGCGGCGUGCCUAAUACAUGCAAGUUGAGCGCUGAAGGUUGGUACUUGUACCAACUGGAUGAGCAGCGAACGGGUGAGUAACGCGUGGGGAAUCUGCCUUUGAGCGGGGGACAACUUUUGGAAACGAAUGCUAAUACCGCAUAAAAACUUUAAACACAAGUUUUAAGUUUGAAAGAUGCAAUUGCAUCACUCAAAGAUGAUCCCGCGUUGUAUUAGCUAGUUGGUGAGGUAAAGGCUCACCAAGGCGAUGAUACAUAGCCGACCUGAGAGGGUGAUCGGCCACAUUGGGACUGAGACACGGCCCAAACUCCUACGGGAGGCAGCAGUAGGGAAUCUUCGGCAAUGGACGAAAGUCUGACCGAGCAACGCCGCGUGAGUGAAGAAGGUUUUCGGAUCGUAAAACUCGGUUGGUAGAGAAGAACGUUGGUGAGAGUGGAAAGCUCAUCAAGUGACGGUAACUACCCAGAAAGGGACGGCUAACUACGUG
rnacentral:rRNA from 1 species